UACGUAGGGUGCAAGCGUUGUCCGGAAUUAUUGGGCGUAAAGAGCGUGUAGGCGGCCCGAUUAGUCCGCUGUGAAAGUCCAGGGCUCAACCCUGGAAUGCCGGUGGAUACUGUCGGGCUAGAGUCCGGAAGGGGCGAGUGGAAUUCCCGGUGUAGCGGUGAAAUGCGCAGAUAUCGGGAGGAACACCAAUGGCGAAGGCAGCUCGCUGGGACGUUACUGACGCUGAGACGCGAAAGCGUGGGGAACAAACAGG
rnacentral:rRNA from 1 species